rnacentral:lncRNA from 1 species
CUAGGUAUAACUUGCUUCUUACCCGCUUAUCUCAGAACUCAGAGAGGGACGUAAGGAUGGGUUCCUCUCAGACUAAUCAAUAUCAGGAAAUGUGCAUCUCUAGAUUGGGCGAUGAAUUCCUCGGUCGGAAACCAUUUGAACACCCAUUGGACUUGUUCUUCAAUUAGAUUAUCAAAUAGCUCAACCCAUCCUUUGGUAUCCUUCGGUUGAGCGAACAUAUCGGGGACGUAAUUCAUUCGCUUUGG